UACGUAGGGGGCGAGCGUUGUCCGGAGUUACUGGGCGUAAAGCGCACGCAGGCGGUCUGCUAAGUUUGGAGUGACAGUUGGUGGCUUAACUGCCAAAGUGCUUCGAAAACUGACAGACUUGAGGGCUUCAGAGGGACACGGAAUUCCGGGUGGAGUGGUGAAAUGCGUAGAGAUCCGGAGGAACACCAAAGGCGAGGGCAGUGUCCUGGGGAGUACCUGACGCUCAGGUGCGAAAGCCAGGGGAGCGAACGGG
rnacentral:rRNA from 1 species